ensembl:lncRNA
UACUUGCAUUGACUUCCCCCCCCCAGCCAGUGAAACCAGACUGAAAUUCCUAAAGGGGAAGGGCUAUAAACCUUUGUCUUCACAGAAAGUCCUUUGCCAGAGAAUGGCAAAGAAACCCUUUUUAUACAUUAUAUAUGGACCAGAAUGAACUCAAAAAAGACUUAUGAAUGAAUCAUUCCAUUGCUUAACUCCAUAUUCAUUUACGUGUAACCCACACAUUUGACUAUCAUGUAUAAUCACUUAUUGUGUAUGUCUUUUGAUAACUAUAGGAUACCUAGUCAUGUCUAGUAUUCAAAUAAUCGCAUUUUCUUGCUUGAUAUUGUCCUGACAAUCAUUUAUUUGUAAAAUAUAUCAUAAUCAUGUUAUAGGAAUCAUGUCCAACAAUAGACCCUGUGAGGCAAAGAACCACAUGCUUGGUAAGAUAAACAAAUGAUUUAUGAUACCCACCCCAAGAACAUUCUGAUUGGUCAAGGCAACAUUUGAGGGGUGGCCAACAGGAAGUUUUAAAUACUUUGGACACGAUGUAAUUUCGCUUUAGUCAUGCCUGCUUUUAGUCGUCGUUUUAUCUGCUUUUAGUUCUAGUCUAGCUGCUGCUAUUAGCCAUGUCGGCUUUUAGUCUCCAGCCUUGCUCGUGCUAUCAGUCAUGCCUGCUCUUAGCUUUUAGUUGUGCUUGCUACCUAGCUUUAGCUUGUAGCAUCUAGCCAUGCGGUUAGUCAUCAUUGUUCUUUGAGCGCGGUUCCAGCGUGCCUGCCUGCUGCUACUAUGCUACUAUGAGAAGGAACACAACCUAGUCUCGUCAAACUUUAUUUCUUUUCUUUUCCGUUUGAAAGUUUCGUGUUCUGAGUUAAGUUUUGUAACGUCCAUUCAACUUCAACCAGCGAACACGACUCUGCACUUUCAGCCAACGCCCAACAACCACGGGCUUCCCAAGACGUCACUUCAGAGACUGAACUUCCAGCCAAUCAACGACCUCGGGAUAGCCCUUUCACCGAGGCUCCUUCUUCACAGGAGAUGCAAGUAACUUUACCUCCAGACUGUGACCUUUACUGGUGUAUCUAAUAUAAUUUUAACCUCAUUGAGGAACUCAAUGCGAGCGCUAAUUACGUGAUUGAUGGUUGUUCAUGUUUAUGCAAUUUAACGUAUUGCUGUUAACUUGGGAUUCCAUAUUUCCAUUCUCUUAAACUCAUCUUUCCCUAACUUUCGACCUUCCUGCAACUUGUGUGAAUGUGUGUGUGCGUGCGUUUAUGUGUUAGAUUAGUUUAUAUGUCUUAGAUUUAUCUAAUAAAGCCUUAUUCAUAUUGAAAAGAGAAGUAUCUUGUGUUUUGUGCUUACAAGUUAAUGUCUUAAACUGCCGAUCUUGUUACUGUGCUAAUUGAUAGUGUUUUCACUAUAGUUUGGAUAUUAGUAUCCAGCGCAGAUUUGAUGUUAAACGGCUCGUUCACUGAACCGCAGGCGCAUCUCCGUGAACAGCCGUGAAACAGUGAUUCUGUUCAAAUUCCCUUUAAAAUCUUAAAUGAUUCCCUUUGAGCUAAAUUGACCUGUUUCCCUUACAGCGUGUUUACAUAGAAAAACAAUGGAAAA